rnacentral:rRNA from 1 species
CCUGCGGAAGGAUCAUUAAUGAAUUCACUAUGGAGUUGUUGCUGGCCUCUAGGGGCAUGUGCACGCUUCACUAGUCUUUCAACCACCUGUGAACUUUUGAUAGAUCUGUGAAGUCGUCUUUCAAGUCGUCAGACUUGGUUUGCUGGGAUUUAAACGUCUCGGUGUGACAACGCAGUCUAUUUACUUAACACACCCCAAAUGUAUGUCUACGAAUGUCAUUUAAUGGGCCUUGUGCCUAUAAACCAUAAUACAACUUUCAACAACGGAUCUCUUGGCUCUCGCAUCGAUGAAGAACGCAGCGAAAUGCGAUAAGUAAUGUGAAUUGCAGAAUUCAGCGAAUCAUCGAAUCUUUGAACGCACCUUGCGCCCCUUGGUAUUCCGAGGGGCAUGCCUGUUUGAGUGUCAUUAAAUUCUCAAACUCACUUUGGUUUUUUCCAAUUGUGAUGUUUGGAUUGUUGGGGGCUGCUGGCCUUGACAGGUCGGCUCCUCUUAAAUGCAUUAGCAGGACUUCUCAUUGCCUCUGCGCAUGAUGUGAUAAUUAUCACUCAUCAAUAGCACGCAUGAAUAGAGUCCAGCUCUCUAAUCGUCCGCAAGGACAAUUUGACAAUUUGACCUC